rnacentral:lncRNA from 1 species
UGAGAUCAUCUGCACAGAAAGCCAAAGAAGCUUUCUGACUUCCAGGGGGAGCCCAGCAUGUGCUGAAGUGAAGACCCAGAUUGAUGGAGAGGUUUUCCUGAGGAGCAGCUGGAAGAGCGUGAACUCUGCACAUCUCCUCCAGCUAUUCUAAGUCUCCUAGAAAGUUUCUCUCUUCUGUUUGGAAAUUCUGCUAAGCUCUGCUGCAGAUGAAGAGAGACAAAUGAACAGAACUGGUGUCAGUAUUCUGUGCUCCUGAGACACCUGAGCUCAUCUCCAAGAAUAAUUUCUAUCCUCAACUCAUACCAAAGGCAUAGCAUGGGUGCAGACUGUGAGGCUUUUCGAGAUCUGUCAGGAGGCGGACUUGAGGAGUAGCACAAUAGUGAGCAAUGCUGGGAAAAGACCAAUUACAAAAUCCUUCAUCUCCAUCAGCUUUAGUAGAAGUUAAUGGGCUAGGUGAGUAGUGGAGCAUCAGGUAUGUUUUCCAUGUGCCUUUUCUUCCUGUACACAUUCCUUACAGACUCUUCCUAUACUGGCCAGUAGAAAGGUCUAUCAGAGCCCCC